UACGUAGGGUGCAAGCGUUAAUCGGAAUUACUGGGCGUAAAGCGUGCGCAGGCGGUGAUGUAAGACAGGUGUGAAAUCCCCGGGCUUAACCUGGGAACUGCAUUUGUGACUGCAUAGCUAGAGUACGGUAGAGGGGGAGUGGAAUUCCGCGUGUAGCAGUGAAAUGCGUAGAUAUGCGGAGGAACACCGAUGGCGAAGGCAAUCCCCUGGACCUGUACUGACGCUCAUGCACGAAAGGCGUGGGGAGCAAACAGG
rnacentral:rRNA from 1 species